UUCAACUUUAGUUUUACAUCAAUUUGACAUUUUGAAUUCUAAAAGCUAAAUCCCCUCGGGGGAAGUUUUAUAGUUGACAAGAAAAAAGAUGAAAAUGGAAAAAUAGAAACAAUAUCAAUUUUUAAAAUUCAGUGGUCAUGAUUAGUGGUCAUGAUUAACAGCAGAUAAUCUGACAGAACAAAGAUCCAUGGAGUUAGCAAGUUAUUAUAAAUAAAAAGAAAACAAAACCCUCAUCAGCCCACCAAUGCAAGUCCCAGCAGAACUGUAAGGAUAACCAUAAUUAUUACCAUCAUGUAUCCUCAUUAACAAGACUCUGAGCAGGGAAUGGGAACCAACAAAAUAUAAGUCAAUCACUAUCAAUGGUGAGAAACCACCAAUAUACAAAUAAUCUUUCCGAAACAUUGACACGUCCUUAAUCUGAUCACAUCUUGGUACUUACAUCUGAUGUUCUGGUCAACAAACAAACAAUUAGAAAGCCAGCAAAAGGAUUCAACAGUAUUUAAAAAUAACGAGUUUAAAAGAACCAAAUUGAAAAGAACAUUCCGGAGCCCCCACGAGCAAAAACUUUAUCCAACAAAAACCUCGUCAAAGCUGCAACAGUAACACGGUGUUAAUCAACAUUUAUCCAUGAGAGAACCUCCAAGAGAGAAAUCACAAUCAAGUAAAAUACUCCCCGUUCAAAAAAGAUUAAGCCAUCUGGAUGGGUGAUGAUAAACAUAUAUCCUGAUCAAUAAGAAUCAGGAAAAAAAAUGACUAUUAAAAUGAUCGAUAAUACUAUAUACCAAACAUUUCUCCCAAACUAUUGACAACUUACCACCAUAAGUCCCACGACAACUUAGAUUUCAAGUACGAUCAAAACAGGCGGACAAUUGAGAAGACAAUAGUCAGCAAAAGGUGGCAACAGGACAUAUAAAAAACGAGUUACAAGAAAAGCACAGUUGAAACCUCCUCUAUGCAAGCAUCGACAACCUAUGGCCUUUAGUGCAGACUCGUUUGGCCUUCAACACUAACCACUGAAUAAAAGAUAGACCAUCAAGAAUUCAGAGCUCAACAACUGGUAAAACAGUACUUCAAAAAAAGUAACUUAAAACAAAACAUAGUUAAAAAGGAUGGUUCAAACCCCUUAACAAAAGGCAUCUACACCAAUACAUCUUGCAAGACUGAAAUAGUCAAAGAACUGACACUGGUCACCAGAUAGAAUAUAUACAAGAAAAGGACUUAACUUGGAUAACCUAAAACUGUUACCAGGUUAGACAUACUCCCAUAAUAAAUAUAAUAUCAACCAUAAUCCGAAAAUCAAAAACCUACAUGUCAGGACAGAUUAACAAACUAUAUGACAAGACAACAUUUAUAAGGGCAGCAAGUUGCUAAUUUAAAAAGCGGAAAAGAAAAUAAAAAACAAGACCAUCUUCACCAGAAGAUCCUCCACCAGUUCAAGCCCAUGAAAAGCUGUAACAGCAGGACUACAAUAACGAUGCGAGAGGUAACAAACUUUUUUCCUAAACAAGAUAUUCAUAAAAAAGUGCUCAUUGACACAAUUACAAUCCCUAUCAAAUGCCAAAAAAAGAGAAAAGCAGAAAAAAAAAACCAUCAUUUCAAAGAACAUGUCUUCUACUCAACUGAUGGCACCCCAUAUUAAAAAGUCAUGAAUAUGUAUUUGAAGAACAUAAAAUAACUUCAUUUCGUGCACCCAAACACAUUUUAGGUGAAAAUAAUGACAAGUAAACCCCAUGAAAGACACCAAUGGUAACAUGAGUAACAAUAAACGCUAUUCACUAAUACAAAAUCAUGUCUAACGGAAAAAUAGGUGAUAGUUGAUACACCAUCAAGAGCUACUGAUUGAGAUAUUCCAUCCACCUAAGAUUAUCAACCCAUGAUGGCAAAUAUGAUCGCUGGUCAUGAUACACAGCAGAUCAUCUGACAGCACAAAGAUUCACAAAAUUAGCAAGUUUAUUUUAAAUAAAAUGAAAAGAAAAAAAUCUUAUCACAUUCCAUAAAUGCAAGUACAAGCAGAACUCUAAAGAUAACCGUAGUAACUACUAUCAUCUGUCCUAAACAGUAAAACUAUGAGAGGGGGGUGGGGGGAACAACAAAUACAAGUGCAAAUCAUUACCUGUGAGAAACCACCACUAUACAAAUAAUCUUUCUGGAACAUCCACACGUCCUAUAUCUGAUCACAGCUUGGUCAGUAAGUCUGUAUUCUAGUUAACAAACAAUCAAUUAGAACGACAAAGGUCAACAAAAAGCCACAACAGCACAUGAAUAGAGUUAAAAACCCUCUUGAGCAAAAACUCCAUCCAACAAAAACCAUGUCCAAAGCUGCAACAGUAACAAUGUGUUAACCAACAUUUAUCUGUAAAAGAACAUCCACGAGAGAAAAAGACAUGCUUGUCUAUAAAAUCUAACCCACUAUUUGGUCCAAAGCAUCCCCCAUUCAAAAAGAUAACGCCAAGGAUCAGAAAAAAUGCCUAUUAAUACAAUCGAUGAUGCUACAUAUAAAUCGCCUCACCCAAAUAUUGACAACGGAGUUCAUGAGUCCAAGGACUACUUAGAUUCAAGACCGAUCACAAACAAGCAGACAAUUGAGAAGACAAAAGUUAGCAGAAGGUGGCAACAGCACAUAUAUGCAAAAUGAGUUAAAAAGAACAAAGUUGAAACCACCUCUAUGCAAAUACCCCCCCAAGCAUGCAUCGGCACCGAUGGCCUUAAGCUCAAACCAGGUAAGCAAAUGAAAAAAACACCACCAAGAACACAAAGGCCAAUACGCAGUGAAACAGUACUCCCAAAAAAAUGACUUGAAACAGAAUGAAGUAAAAGGAAUGUCUCAACCACCUUAACAAAAAGCAUAUCCACCAAAACAUCUUGCAAGACUGGAAUAUAACAAAACUGAAACCAAUCACCAAACAGAACAUACACAAGAAAAAGAAGAUUAAAUGGUAUAACCUAAAAUGAUACCAAGUUAGACAUAACCCCUUCAUUAAUAUCAUAUCGUCAAACUCCAAAGUUCACCAAACAAUUGAGCCAGGACAGAUCGCGGAUUAACAGGCCAUAUGACAAGGCAACAUUUAUAAGCGCAACCCACUGAAAAGGAACGCAAAAAAAUAUCAGAACCUCAUACACCAGAAGAUUCCCCCACCAAUGCAAGCCCAUGAAAAGCUGUAACAGCAGGAGUCAUGAUUAAAGCUAGGGGGUAAGACUAUUAAUACAAUUAAUAAUACUACCAAGGGUGAGCCAAUCCCUCUAAAAGUCGUCUCUCACAAACAUUAACAAUCUAACGCCUUCAUUCUCAUGACAUCUUAGUUUCUGAUCACAAAAAGCCAGACAAUGAGAAGACAACAGUCAGCAAAUGGUGACAACCACAUGUACAGAAAGCAAGAGGUAAAAAUAACAUUAGGUCCCCUUGAAAAGUGCCUCCAACAAACCUUGCUGCAAGAUUACAAUAAUAAUACGGUGGUAACAAACAAUUAUCAUACGCAAAAUGUUCGUUAAAGAAUGCUCAUUUACACAAUUAGAGUAACUAUUAAGUGCAAAAACACCAUCAUCUCAAAGAAAGUAUUUUACACAACUGAUGGUAAUCCAUCCUUUGUCUCAACCAAUAUAGCCCUUGAAUAACCGAAAAAUGAGUAAUAACGGGCAUAUACCUCAUCAAGAGCAUAGAAACUUCAUACAUCAAAAUCACUAUCGAAGAUGUAAAACCACCUCUAUAUAAAUUCGCUUUCGAAGAUCAAUAAUCCGUGGUCUUUAGUUCAAUCACUGACUAAUAAAAAACCACGAGAACAAGAAUUAUUAAGAAGUGUCGAGUUAAAACAGUAUUAAGAUAGAACCUGAAUUAAAAGUGCCUCAAAUGAAUCUUCUCGCAAGCCUGCGAAAAUAACAUGAGAAUGAUCAACAAAAUCCUCAAUAAAACAACAAGAAGGCAAAAGUAAUGCUAAUUGAAAAAGCCAAAUCACUCGCAAAGGUGAAAAACCCCCUCAUUAAAAUUGUAUCCACCAAAUAUCAUCAGCCCAUUGCGCGAGACCAGACUGAAACACAAACAAGGUGACAGGAAAAGGAUCAGACGACAUAAUUCAUUCAAACACAGUUACUAGAAGUUUUUUUUUUAGAAGAAAAAAGCUAGAACACCAUUCAACACGCUACUCGCGAUGAAGUGUCUCCACUAAUGCAAGCCUUCUAAAAACUGCAACAGGAAUGGAAUUACAAUUAGCAUCUACCAUCACAAGUGAAAACAAGGAAAAAAUAAAGGAAUUGAGAAAAAAGUGAGAAACACCCUCCAUGCAACUCAUAUCUGUAAUAUUCUUCCCAGAAUGACAACACAUCCUAAAUCUGAUCACAGCUUGGUAUUUAAGUCUGAUUUCUGGUUAAGUACAAGCAAUUAGAAUGACAGUAUUUUAAAAGAAAAGAGUUUAAGAGCCAAAUUAAAAAGAACAUUUCAGGACCCCCUUGAGCAAGAACUUUAUCCAAUAAAAACUUCAUCAAAGCUGCAACAAUAACAAGGUGUUGAUCAACAUUUACCCAUGGUAGAACAUCCAUGAGAGAAAGGAAGGUUAGUCAAUGCAAACCUAAAUAAUUAUCGCGUGCAAAAUGCACCCUUCAAAAAGAUUACACCAUCCAGAAAUGUGAUGAUAUACAUAUAUCCUGAUU